UACGAAGGGGGCUAGCGUUGCUCGGAAUCACUGGGCGUAAAGGGUGCGUAGGCGGGUCUUUAAGUCAGGGGUGAAAUCCUGGAGCUCAACUCCAGAACUGCCUUUGAUACUGAGGAUCUUGAGUUCGGGAGAGGUGAGUGGAACUGCGAGUGUAGAGGUGAAAUUCGUAGAUAUUCGCAAGAACACCAGUGGCGAAGGCGGCUCACUGGCCCGAUACUGACGCUGAGGCACGAAAGCCAGGGGAGUGAACGGG
rnacentral:rRNA from 1 species